rnacentral:tRNA from 1 species
GACCCAUUAGUUUAAUGGUUAGAACACCAGCCUUUCAAGCUGAAGACCAGGGUUCAAUUCCCUGAUGGGUUACUA